GCGCACCGUUCGAGGAGGACCCUGCCCAUCGGAUGUGCAUGGCGAUGAGAGGUCGACCGAUCGAGGCAAUCUGAGUUCUCUUCUCCAUCACUAUCUUUGAACACGAUGCCGUGGAACCGGAUAGGGGUGAGAAGGGGAUUGCUUCGUGCUGCUAUGGUUCUAGGUGGUAGCACCUUCCCAUAGCAGGGCUGUGAGGGGCGGGUAGUUAACGCUGCUGUGUCCACUGGCUGUCCGCCCUCACCUACCUGAUUCCUACCAGGGAAUCGAGUCUGGCAAACAUAGUAGCCUAGGAUUAGGUGGGGUCGUAACAUUGUAUGCUUGUACGUGGGCACUCUGUGUAAACCGACUGGGUGGCGUCACCCUGCUCAAUAAACCUCUGUCUGAAGUUGCUCUGCUUUGCAUCUUGCAGCUAGAAUUAGGGGUGGGUACCUGCUGAGUCCGUAGGGGUCAAACCCUAGACUGGGUGGGUUGCAUUGACGUCGCAAGCUUACAGCCAGGCGAUAACCUCCAUCUAUACCUCCAUCCUAUGGAUGGAACAAGAGUCCUCUUCACGUGAUCAUUUGAUUUCAUCCCUCCUGUGAACAUUCUCUUGUUGCUUCCGUGUUGCCUGCAGCUUCCUCUGAUCCAAGCCUGGUGAAGGAAGAAGUUCCCUGAAAAGCCUUGAGGUUACAUCUCAAGGGCGCACGGUCAUAGCAUCUAAACUCCGGUUAUUUCUCUCGUUCAAGUCUGAGUGUUUACAACACAACAAACAAGUUAAAACUUUCAACAACGGAUCUCUUGGUUCUCGCAUCGAUGAAGAACGCAGCGAAAUGCGAUAAGUAGUGUGAAUUGCAGAAUUCAGUGAAUCAUCGAAUCUUUGAACGCACAUUGCACCUCCUGGUAUUCCGGGAGGUAUGCCUGUUCGAGCGUCAUCAAACUCAUCCUCAAGUGCCCUGCGCUUGGACCUGGAGGAAGAUUGACCUUGGUUGAUCCCCUCUUAAAUUCUUCAGCAGAAGCUGCAAAAAACCUCAGCGUGAUAUCAUUGAUUCGCUUUUGAUGGUCCUUGCUCUCUAGCUGUUCAAAAGCCCCCCAGCAUUCUAUGUUGACCUCGGAUCAGGUAGG
rnacentral:rRNA from 1 species